UACGGGGGGGGCAAGCGUUGUUCGGAAUUACUGGGCGUAAAGGGCUUGUAGGCGGCCAACUAAGUCAGACGUGAAAUCCCUCGGCUUAACCGGGGAACUGCGUCUGAUACUGGAUGGCUUGAGAUUGGGAGAGGGAUGCGGAAUUCCAGGUGUAGCGGUGAAAUGCGUAGAUAUCUGGAGGAACACCGGUGGCGAAGGCGGCAUCCUGGACCAUUACUGACACUGAAAAGCGAAAGCCAGGGGAGCAAACGGG
rnacentral:rRNA from 1 species